UACGUAGGGUGCAAGCGUUAAUCGGAAUUACUGGGCGUAAAGCGUGCGCAGGCGGUUGGGCAAGACCGAUGUGAAAUCCCCGGGCUUAACCUGGGAAUGGCAUUGGUGACUGCACGGCUAGAGUGUGUCAGAGGGGGGUAGAAUUCCACGUGUAGCAGUGAAAUGCGUAGAUAUGCGGAGGAACACCGAUGGCGAAGGCAAUCCCCUGGACCUGUACUGACGCUCAUGCACGAAAGCGUGGGGAGCAAACAGG
rnacentral:rRNA from 1 species